rnacentral:tRNA from 1 species
CGGGGUGUAGCGCAGUCUGGUAGCGCGCCUGCUUUGGAGAGCAGGAUUGUCGGGGGUUCAAAUCCCUCCUCCCCGACCA